GGAGGAAAAGAAACUAACAAGGAUUCCCCUAGUAACGGCGAGUGAACCGGGAAGAGCUCAAAUUUGAAAUCUGGCGUCCUCAGGGCGUCCGAGUUGUAAUCUAUAGAGGCGUUUUCCGUGCCGGACCGUGUCCAAGUUCCUUGGAACAGGAUAUCAAAGAGGGUGACAAUCCCGUACUUGACACGACGACCGGUGCUCUGUGAUACGUCUUCUACGAGUCGAGUUGUUUGGGAAUGCAGCUCAAAAUGGGUGGUGAGUUCCAUCUAAAGCUAAAUAUUGGCGAGAGACCGAUAGCGAACAAGUACCGUGAGGGAAAGAUGAAAAGCACUUUGGAAAGAGAGUUAAACAGUACGUGAAAUUGUUGAAAGGGAAACGAUUGAAGUCAGUCGUGACCGAGAGGCUCAGCCGGUUCUGCCGGUGUAUUCCCCUCGGUCGGGUCAACAUCAGUUUUGUCCGGUGGAUAAGGGCGGUAGGAAGGUGGCACCCUCGGGUGUGUUAUAGCCUGCCGUCGCAUACAUCGGGUGAGACUGAGGAACGCAGCUCGCCUUUAUGGCCGGGGUUCGCCCACGUCCGAGCUUAGGAUGUUGACAUAAUGGCUUUAAACGACCCGUCUUG
rnacentral:rRNA from 1 species